rnacentral:sRNA from 1 species
GACCGCUAUUUUUAGCUGAGGCCACACGGACAGCCGGGUCGAAUGCCGA